rnacentral:tmRNA from 1 species
GGGGGUGUACUGGUUUCGACGGGGGUUUGGAGUCAUCGGUAGCGAGUCGUGUUUCGCUUGGUAACACGUAAAAAACUGGGCAAUUAAAUAUAAAUGCAAACGAAAAUUACGCAUUAGCUGCCUAAUAUAGCGGCAGCUCAUUUCUCCCUAGCCUCCCGCUGCUAGGACAGAAAUGUCAUCUUCGCGGGGAACGUCUUAAGGGGUGCCUUGAUCUUAAGUUGUACAAUUAGGGCUAGCCGAACCUGUAGUAUGUUAUUGGACGACAGGGAAGGCGAUAUUCAAAACAAUAACUACACUCGUAGAAACUGCUGAUAAAAGGCCUUCGGACAGGGGUUCAACUCCCCUCACCUCCACCA